GACGAACGCUGGCGGCGUGCUUAACACAUGCAAGUCGAACGGAAAGGCCCUGCUUUUGUGGGGUGCUCGAGUGGCGAACGGGUGAGUAACACGUGAGUAACCUGCCCUUGACUUUGGGAUAACUUCAGGAAACUGGGGCUAAUACCGGAUAGGAUCUCCUGCUGCAUGGUGGGGGUUGGAAAGUUUCGGCGGUUGGGGAUGGACUCGCGGCUUAUCAGCUUGUUGGUGGGGUAGUGGCGUACCAAGGCUUUGACGGGUAGCCGGCCUGAGAGGGUUACCGGCCACAUUGGGACUGCGAUACGGACCAGAAUCCUACGGGAGGCAGCAGUGGGGAAUAUUGCACAAUGGGCGGAAGCCUGAUGCAGCAACGCCGCGUGCGGGAUGACGGCCUUCGGGUUGUAAACCGCUUUCGCCUGUGACGAAGCGUGAGUGACGGUAAUGGGUAAAGAAGCACCGGCUAACUACGUG
rnacentral:rRNA from 1 species